ensembl:lncRNA
CAAAGGUCAGGUUCAACACGCUCUGCGGAGGUCAAAGGUCAGGUUCAACACGCUCUGCGGAGGUCAAAGGUCAGGUUCAACACGCUCUGCGGAGGUCAAAGGUCAGGUAUAAACGCGCUAUAGAGGUCAAAGGUCAGGUUCAAAAAAGGUACCUGGGCUUAGGGACCACGAUGUUAGGAGUUAGGAUCACAGCCUUUAGAAGGCUGAGAACCACCGGUCUAGUGAGUGAGUGAGUAAUGGUGUUGAGUGAGAGAGUGAGUGAGUAAUGGUGUUGAGUGAGAGAGUGAGUGAGUGAGUAAUGGUGUUGAGUGAGAGAGUGAGUGGGUGGGUAGGUAAUGGUGUUGAGUGAGAG